GCCUGAUUGAAGAUGUCUGUGAGCAGUAAUUACUGAGGAGGAAUUGUGGCUGAGGGCUGGGCAGAAACACCUGGGGUUCAUCUGGAGCUGAGGGACAUUUGUCACCUAUUGUGGAGAAGGUCUGUCCUCCCCAAGAUACAGAUACCUUGUGCCACUUUGCAACUGAAUUUUGAAGAUGUCAGGGGCCAGGACACUCCUGUGAACUUCACUGACAGCUGGAUGGACUUGGCAGAGAGAGCCCAUCUGACAGGGAUGUGAAUGCUUGGGGGUGGUUGCAGCAGAAGGAAGAACAAGUAAGUAAAUUUGAGGGGAUAAAUGUGCAGGCCUUUUCAUGGAGCAAUUGCAAUCAGUUGUUUUAAAGUAUACCCCAGUUGUG
rnacentral:lncRNA from 1 species